rnacentral:rRNA from 1 species
AGUGAACGCUGGCGGUAGGCCUAACACAUGCAAGUCGAACGGCAGCACAGUAAGAGCUUGCUCUUACGGGUGGCGAGUGGCGGACGGGUGAGGAAUACAUCGGAAUCUACUUUUUCGUGGGGGAUAACGUAGGGAAACUUACGCUAAUACCGCAUACGACAUACGGGUGAAAGCAGGGGAUCUUCGGACCUUGCGCGAUUGAAUGAGCCGAUGUCGGAUUAUCUAGUUGGCGGGGUAAAGGCCCACCAAGGCGACGAUCCGUAGCUGGUCUGAGAGGAUGAUCAGCCACCCUGGAACUGACACACGGUCCAGACUCCUACGGGAGGCAGCAGUGGGGAAUAUUGGACGAUGGGCGCAUGCCUGAUCCAGCCAUACCGCGUGUGUGAAGAAGGCCUUCGGGUUGUAAAGCCCUUUUGUUGGUAAAGAAAAGCAGCAGGUUAAUACCCCGCUGUUCUGACGGUACCCAAAGAAUAAGCACCGGCUAACUUCGUG